GGAGGCGGACGAGGCGUGGCGCGUGACGCACCACUACUUCCACUUCGACCCGCUGCACGGCAACCACCGCGUGGAGGACGUGAACUUCCAGUGGACGGACGGCGUGUUCGGCGUGGCGCUGUCGCGACCCGACGCGCAGGGCGAGCGCACCGUCUUCUUCCACGCGCUGUCCAGCCUGCGCGAGUUCUCGGUGCCGGCCGGCGUGCUGCGCAACCGCACGGCGGCGCUCGCCACCGGGCCCGACUCCUACUACCACUACCGGGACCUCGGCUUCAAGGGCAACGACACGCAGGCCACCGCCUCCUACCUCGACCUCGACACCGGCGUGCUCUUCUUCACGCAGCUGAACCGCAACGCCGUGGCGUGCUGGAACACGCAGAAGCCCCUGGAGCCGGCCAACGUGCACUUGCUGGUCAGCGACGGCGAGCGCUUCUCCUUCCCCAACGACCUCAAGGUGGACGCCGAGGGCACCCUCUGGGUGCUCACCGACCGGCUGCCCGUCUACGUGUACAAGGGCGGCCUCGACCCCAACACGGUCAACUACCGCAUCUUCUCCGCGGCCGUCAAAGACCUCAUCAAGGGCACCGUCUGCGAGGCGUAGUUGGUCGCCGAGGCUCGACGAUGACGCCGCAGAACUGUCCAGCGCAGCACUUCUAUUCAGCUCCCCUCCUCGCUCUAUUGUUGUGCUAACAACUCUGUGAAGGCAUAUAGUCAUCUGAGGACCUGAACUUUUCAUCAGUUAUUUUUUUUUCUUCAACACUCUCGUCUCCGCUAGUCGAAACCUCUUAGUCGGCGAAACUCUAAUACUUUUUUUUUCUGCUCGUGGAGCAACGAUUAGUCAAAAGAGCACUUGGAACUCGCCUUAUUAAAGGACUAGACGCUUUAUCACACCGUACCCAAUCUAUCAAAGCAUCAGUAUUGUUGUAUCAAAUUAUAAUGUGGGUUUAGAUCCAUCAAGACCUGACUUUUGGCAGAAAAAACGCUUACGGUGAUCAGUGAGGUGUGUUUGGAUAAACGUAGCUUAAGGUAAAGUCUGGGUUCCAAUCUUUUAAUCUCCGUGAGGAGCAGAAUAUUCCUCUGGUGAACAGACUGUUUUAUUCAUGAGCUACAAAAACAUUUGUUCUGCGGUUCGUAAUCAUCAAAUUAAAAUGUUUUCGUUAAUAGCUCAUAAUAAAAGGACGUCCAUUAAAAUGGAAAAAAGUAAUCUUGCAUGCGAAAUACAAGAUAAUAAGUGCCAAAAUAUACGCACAUAUCUUUAAAAAAUUAUAUGUAAGCUCAUUUUCUUCCAUUUAGAGGUACACUGUCACUUUUUAACAUGAAAAAGAAGUACGAAAAAGCUACGGAACAGUUACAGCGUGAAAACUGCGAAUGAGAACGCAGCGUUAUUCUUUCCCCGUACUAUUUGAGGAACUCAACACUCCUUUAAAAUGACCCGUAGUAUUUGAGGAACUUAGCACUCCUUUAAAAUGAAAUACGUACCUGUCCUUUAUUUCUGGAGGCAACAACUGCAACAUAUUACACUUAUGUCCAAUACGUGUUUGCUAUGUGCCACUUUUUGCUAUAAUGCUAUAUGUUUCGAUACAAGAAAUGUGCUAUAGUUUGAGCAAGUGCAGAAAACGUAAAUACUUAAGACAUAUACGACAUACUUUAUAAAUGCCUUUUGUUUCAGUGACCUUAUGUUUGAUAAUGGGCGUAUCCAGUAUUAAAUCACCAAGUCGUUUGUCUGUGUGCUCUAAUUUUAUCGAUAAAAUUUAGACACCGAAUUUCCCAUUAACAGUGCAGUCACUGCCGUGUGACUUCAUGCUAAUCUAUCAUUCCUCUGACGAAUGUAACAGUUCAGUAGUUCAG
rnacentral:lncRNA from 1 species